CCAUCUGUAUCACCAGAUGACCCUAAGACUCUGAAUAAAGCAGCGAGUCUGACAAUGUAACGAAGUCCAUUGGACGGGAACAGAAUCGUGAGAGGAUGUUCCUCCUGAUAACCACAAUCGGGUAAGUGC
rfam:Shewanella sediminis HAW-EB3, complete genome.